rnacentral:tRNA from 1 species
GCACUUUGGUGGCACUAAGGACACAUGUUCUAGUUUUCAUAGGUAUUGCUAAGUUACUCUUCAAAGAGAUCAUAACAGCUUGUUUUUACACUUAAUGUUUGAACGUGUAUUUUUCCCACUGCCUCACCAACACCAUAUAAUGAAAACCUUAACAGUUUUUUGGCCACUUUUAAUAUAUGAAAUCUUAGAGUUUCCUGGUGGUUCACUGGGUUAAGGACCCAGCAUCGUCAUUGCUGAGGCUCAGGUCACUGCAGUGGCAUAGGUUUGAUCCCUGGCCUGGAAACUUGGCCUACACCACAGCCACAGCAAUGCAGGAUCAGAGCCGCAUUUGCGACCUACACCACAGCUCAUGGCAACACCAGAUCCUUAACCCACUGAGUGAGGCCAGGGAUCAAACCUGCAUCCUCAUGGAUCCUAGUCAGGUUCAUUAACUGCUGAGCUGUGAAGGGAACUCCUGCCUGGAAACUUCCAUACGCCAUUGUUUCGGCAAAAAAAAGAGCCUCAAGGAAAUCAGAACUGGCAGAAGCAGUCAGUUUUAAAUCCAGGGCCCUGAAUAAAACUUUGGGAAAGAAUGCAUCACCCACGCUCAAAGCACAAAGCCUCCCCGCCCCUUUCUUCUGGCCUCUGAUACAAAUUGAACAGGGAGAGAACAGAGAAACCAUAACUCUUCCUGUCCCCCCAAGCCCCACUGUUUUGUCAAAAUGGAAAUUGUUUCUAAUCGUCUUCCAACAAGAACACUGUCUGUGGGAGAAAAUAUUUGCAAAUGAAGUGACUGACAAGGGAUUAAUCUCCAAAAUUUAUAAACACCUCCUGCAGCUCAAUACCAAAAGAAAACAAACAACCCCACCAAAAGAUGGGCAGAAGAUCUAAACAGACAACUCUCCAAAGAAGACAUAUGGAUAGCCAAAAAACGCAUGAAAAGAUGUUCAACAUCACUCAUUAUUAGAGAAAUGCAAAUCAAAACUACUAUGAGGUACCACCUUUCACCAGCCAGAAUGGCUGUCAUCAAAAACUCUACAAACAAUAAAUGCUGGAGAGGGUGUGGAGAAAAAGGGAAC